UCCUUAUGUCCAAUGCUGACUUCUGGAACC
rnacentral:piRNA from 1 species